UUUUGGACCGGAACGACCGACGGUAUGACGAGUUUUGAAUUCACCACCGCAKGUCGAGACGCUCCUGGCGUCCUUCGCUCGGAUUUUGGCCAACCGCGUGCGGUAACACACGGGAGASCAGCUUCCGUCCCUUUUCCUCGAGAGGAUGGGGGGACGACGAUUUGUGACACCCAGGCAGACGUGCCCUCGGCCAGAAGGCUUGGGGCGCAACUUGCGUUCAAAGACUCGAUGGUUCACGGGAUUCUGCAAUUCACACCAAGUAUCGCAUUUCGCUACGUUCUUCAUCGAUGCGAGAGCCCAGAUAUCCGUUGCCGAGAGUCGUUUUACACUUUCUAUUGCAGCACAGCUUCCGCGCAAACACCGUCUCCGGGUUGGCGAACGCGGGCUGCUUAGUUGCAUGUUCCUUGACACUUUUCGUGCCGUGGUUUGGUGAUGUCCGGAAGCUAUGCACAACGACCCUGSCRAGACAAAAGCCUUGGCCGGGGACGAAACGCAUAACCACGGAAUCGGCARGCACGGAUUCASCU
rnacentral:misc_RNA from 1 species